CCCUUAGAUGUUCUGGGCCGCACGCGUGCUACACUGAGUGGAUCAGCGGGUCAGGUUGCGCGAAAGUGUUUCCUAAUCUUUAAAUCCGCUCGUGAUGGGGAUUGACGGUUGCAAUUUUCCGUCAUGAACGAGGAAUACCUUGUAAUCGCGGGUCAUCAUCCCGCGCUGAAUACGUCCCUGCCCUUUGUACACACCGCCCGUCGCUCCUACCGAUUGAGUGGUCCGGUGAGGCUUUGGGAUCUGAGCGGAAAGAGCGUUUCGCUGUUUCUGCCCGGAAAACUCAGUCGAACCUUAUCAUUUAGAGGAAGGAGAAGUCGUAACA
rnacentral:rRNA from 1 species